rnacentral:rRNA from 1 species
GAGUUUGAUCUUGGCUCAGGAUGAACGCUAGCGGCAGGCUUAACACAUGCAAGUCGAGGGGUAUAGGUUUUCGGACCUAGAGACCGGCGCACGGGUGCGUAACGCGUAUGCAAUCUGCCUUUUACUGAGGGAUAGCCCAGAGAAAUUUGGAUUAAUACCUCAUAGUAUUAUUGAAUGGCAUCAUUUAAUAAUUAAAGUUCCAACGGUAAAAGAUGAGCAUGCGUCCCAUUAGCUAGAUGGUAAGGUAACGGCUUACCAUGGCGACGAUGGGUAGGGGUCCUGAGAGGGAGAUCCCCCACACUGGUACUGAGACGCGGACCAGACUCCUACGGGAGGCAGCAGUGAGGAAUAUUGGUCAAUGGGCGCAAGCCUGAACCAGCCAUGCCGCGUGCAGGAUGACGGCCCUAUGGGUUGUAAACUGCUUUUGUACGGGAAGAACACUCCUACGUGUAGGAACUUGACGGUACCGUAAGAAUAAGGAUCGGCUAACUCCGUGCCAGCCGCCGCGGU